rnacentral:rRNA from 1 species
UACGAAGGGGGCUAGCGUUGUUCGGAAUUACUGGGCGUAAAGGGCGCGUAGGCGGUGUGUCGCGUCUGCUGUGAAAACUCAGGGCUUAACCCUGAGCUUGCAGUGGGUACGGGCAGACUAGAGUGCGGUAGGGGAGACUGGAGUUCCUGGUGUAGCGGUGAAAUGCGCAGAUAUCAGGAGGAACACCGGUGGCGAAGGCGGGUCUCUGGGCCGUAACUGACGCUGAGGAGCGAAAGCAUGGGGAGCGAACAGG